AUACGGAGGGUGCAAGCGUUGUCCGGAUUUAUCGGGUUUAAAGGGUGCGUAGGUGGUUUUUUAAGUCAGUGGUGAAAGCCUACAGCUUAACUGUAGAGGUGCCAUUGAUACUGGGGAACUUGAGUAUGGACGAGGUAGGCGGAAUUUGUGGUGUAGCGGUGAAAUGCAUAGAUACCACAAGGAACACCGAUAGCGAAGGCAGCUUACUGGGCCAUAACUGACACUGAGGCACGAAAGCGUGGGGAGCGAACAGGAUUAGAAACCCUAGUAGUCC
rnacentral:rRNA from 1 species